rnacentral:tRNA from 1 species
CUGCGGGCACUGUUCCCGACCAUCGGCGCGCUGCGUACCGCGGUGCCGGGCGUGCCGGUCUCGCUGGCCCACCUGC